CGAAAGCCUGACGGAGCAAUACCGCGUGAGGGAGGAAGGCCUUUGGGUUGUAAACCUCAAAAAAUAGGGAAGAAAAAAAUGACUGUACCUAAAAUAAGCAUCGGCUAACUCCGUGCCAGCAGCCGCGGUAAUACGGAGGAUGCAAGCGUUAUCCGGAAUCAUUGGGCGUAAAGAGUCCGUAGGUGGCUAAUCAAGUCCGAAGUUAAAGACAGAAGCUAAACUUCUGGAAAGCAGCGGAAACUGAAGAGCUAGAGUGUAGGAGAGGUAGAGGGAAUUCCCAGUGUAGCGGUGAAAUGCGUAGAGAUUGGGAAGAACACCAGUGGCGAAGGCGCUCUACUGGACUAAAACUGACACUGAGGGACGAAAGCUAGGGUAGCG
rnacentral:rRNA from 1 species